rnacentral:pre_miRNA from 1 species
GGAUCGGUGCCAGGUACCCGUAAAUUCUCGGACAGUUCGUAUAUGUAAGCGCACUGCCCAGAAUUUUUCGGGUUCCUGACUAGAUAUCCC